GAUGAACGCUAGCUACAGGCUUAACACAUGCAAGUCGAGGGACCGGCGUACGGGUGAGUAACACGUAUCCAACCUGCCCUUUACCCGGUGAUAGCCUUUCGAAAGAAAGAUUAAUACCCGCUAGAAAGGAUGGGUAUGCGUUUCACUAGGUUGUUGGUGAGGAAACGGCCCACCAAGCCUUCGAUGGAUAGGGGUUCUGAGGGGAAAGUCCCCCACAUUGGAACUGAGACCCGGUCCACUCUCCUACGGUGGGCAGCAGUUAGGAAUAUUGGGCAAUGGGCGGUAGCCUGAACCAGCCAAGUAGCGUGAAGGAUGAAGGCUUAUGGCUCGUAAACUUCUGUUAUAUAAGAAUAUGUAUUAUAUGAAUAAGGAUCGGCUAACUCCGUGCCAGCAGCCGCGGUAAUAC
rnacentral:rRNA from 1 species